GAUGAACGCUGGCGGCGUGCCUAAUACAUGCAAGUCGAGCGAACGGACGAGAAGCUUGCUUCUCUGAUGUUAGCGGCGGACGGGUGAGUAACACGUGGAUAACCUACCUAUAAGACUGGGAUAACUUCGGGAAACCGGAGCUAAUGCCGGAUAAUAUUUUGAACCGCAUGGUUCAAAAGUGAAAGACGGUCUUGCUGUCACUUAUAGAUGGAUCCGCGCUGCAUUAGCUAGUUGGUAAGGUAACGGCUUACCAAGGCAACGAUGCAUAGCCGACCUGAGAGGGUGAUCGGCCACACUGGAACUGAGACAGGGUCCAGACUCCUACGGGAGGCAGCAGUAGGGAAUCUUCCGCAAUGGGCGAAAGCCUGACGGAGCAACGCCGCGUGAGUGAUGAAGGUCUUCGGAUCGUAAAACUCUGUUAUUAGGGAAGAACAUAUGUGUAAGUAACUGUGCACAUCUUGACGGUACCUAAUCAGAAAGCCACGGCUAACUACGUG
rnacentral:rRNA from 1 species